rnacentral:rRNA from 1 species
UACGGAGGAUGCAAGCGUUAUCCGGAUUCAUUGGGUUUAAAGGGUGCGCAGGCGGAAUGAUAAGUCAGUGGUGAAAUCCUAGAGCUUAACUCUAGAACUGCCAUUGAUACUGUCAUUCUUGAGUACACUUGAAGUGGGCGGAAUGUGUCAUGUAGCGGUGAAAUGCUUAGAUAUGACAAGGAACACCGAUCGCGAAGGCAGCUCACUAAAGUGCAACUGACGCUCAGGCACGAAAGCGUGGGGAUCAAACAGG